GAUGAACGCUAGCGGCAGGCCUAACACAUGCAAGUCGAGGGGUAACUAGAGUGAUAGCAAUAUUACUUUGGCUAGACCGGCGCACGGGUGCGUAACACGUAUGCAACCUACCUUAUACUGGGGAAUAACUUCGAGAAAUCGGCGCUAAUACCCCAUAACAUUGCGAAGAGGCAUCUCUUUGCAAUUAAAGCUCCGGCGGUAUAAGAUGGGCAUGCGUCCAAUUAGCUAGUUGUUGAGGUAACGGCUCACCAAGCCUACGAUUGGUAGGGGUUCUGAGAGGAUGAUCCCCCACACUGGUAAUGAGACACGGACCAGACUCCUACGGGAGGCAGCAGUGAGGAAUAUUGCGCAAUGGACGAAAGUCUGACGCUGCCAUGCCGCGUGCAGGACGACGGCCCUAUGGGUUGUAAACUGCUUUUGUACGGGAAUAAACCCUUCUACGUGUAGGAGGCUGAAGGUACCGUAAGAAUAAGCACCGGCUAACUCCGUGCCAGCAGCCGCCGUAACAC
rnacentral:rRNA from 1 species